GAUGAACGCUGGCGGCGUGCCUAACACAUGCAAGUCGAGCGAUUCUCUUCGGAGAAGAGCGGCGGACGGGUGAAUAACGCGUGGGUAACCUGCCCUGUACACACGGAUAACAUACCGAAAGGUAUGCUAAUACGAGAUAAUAUACUUUUAUCGCAUGGUAGAAGUAUCAAAGCUUUUGCGGUACAGGAUGGACCCGCGUCUGAUUAGCUAGUUGGUAAGGUAACGGCUUACCAAGGCGACGAUCAGUAGCCGACCUGAGAGGGUGAUCGGCCACAUUGGAACUGAGACACGGUCCAAACUCCUACGGGAGGCAGCAGUGGGGAAUAUUGCACAAUGGGCGAAAGCCUGAUGCAGCAACGCCGCGUGAGCGAUGAAGGCCUUCGGGACGUAAAGCUCUGUCCUCAAGGAAGAUAAUGACGGUACUUGAGGAGGAAGCACCGGCUAACUACGUGCCAGCCGCCGCCGUAAGAC
rnacentral:rRNA from 1 species